rnacentral:rRNA from 1 species
GGAUCAUUCAAGUUUCUGCCCUAUCAGCUUUGGAUGGUAGGGUAUUGGCCUACCAUGGCUUUAACGGGUAACGGGGGAUUAGGGUUUGAUUCCGGAGAGGGCGCCUGAGAGACGGCGACCACAUCCAAGGAAGGCAGCAGGCGCGUAAAUUACCCAAUACGAACUCCGUGAGGUAGUGACAAUAAAUAACAAUGCCGGGCCUUUCUAGGUCUGGCAAUUGGAAUGAGAACAAUUUAAACCCCUUAUCGAGGAUCAAUUGGAGGGCAAGUCUGGUGCCAGCAGCCGCGGUAAUUCCAGCUCCAAUAGCGUAUACUAAAGUUGUUGCAGUUAAAAAGCUCGUAGUUGGAUUUGUGGUGGCGGGUGGUGUCCACUUUUGGUACAAUCGCCUGCCGCCAUCCUUGGGUGGAACCUGUGUGGCAUUAGGUUGUCGUGCAGGGGAUGCCCAUCGUUUACUGUGAAAAAAUCAGCGCGUUCAAAGCAGGCUUAUGCCGUUGAAUGUAUUAGCAUGGAAUAAUAAUAUAGGACCUUGGUACUAUUUUGUUGGUUUGCGCACCGAGGUAAUGAU